AGAGUUUGAUCCUGGCUCAGAGCGAACGCUGGCGGCAGGCCUAACACAUGCAAGUCGAACGGACCUUUCGGGGUUAGUGGCGGACGGGUGAGUAACACGUGGGAACGUGCCUUUUGGUUCGGAAUAGCUCCUGGAAACGGGUGGUAAUGCCGAAUGUGCCCUUUGGGGGAAAGAUUUAUCGCCAUUAGAGCGGCCCGCGUCUGAUUAGCUAGUUGGUGAGGUAAAGGCUCACCAAGGCGACGAUCAGUAGCUGGUCUGAGAGGAUGACCAGCCACAUUGGGACUGAGACACGGCCCAAACUCCUACGGGAGGCAGCAGUGGGGAAUCUUGCGCAAUGGGCGAAAGCCUGACGCAGCCAUGCCGCGUGAAUGAUGAAGGUCUUAGGAUUGUAAAAUUCUUUCACCGGGGACGAUAAUGACGGUACCCGGAGAAGAAGCCCCGGCUAACUUCGUGCCAGCAGCCGCGGUAAUACGAAGGGGGCUAGCGUUGCUCGGAAUUACUGGGCGUAAAGGGAGCGUAGGCGGACAUUUAAGUCAGGGGUGAAAUCCCAGAGCUCAACUCUGGAACUGCCUUUGAUACUGGGUGUCUUGAGUGUGAUAGAGGUAAGUGGAACUCCGAGUGUAGAGGUGAAAUUCGUAGAUAUUCGGAAGAACACCAGUGGCGAAGGCGACUUACUGGAUCAUUACUGACGCUGAGGCUCGAAAGCGUGGGGAGCAAACAGGAUUAGAUACCCUGGUAGUCC
rnacentral:rRNA from 1 species